UACAGAGGGUGCAAGCGUUAAUCGGAAUUACUGGGCGUAAAGCGCACGUAGGUGGAAGAUUGAGUCUGAUGUGAAAUCCCUGGGCUUAACCUGGGAAUUGCGUUGGAAACGAGUCAUCUAGAGUCGGACAGAGGGUUGUGGAAUUUCCGGUGUAGCGGUGAAAUGCGUAGAGAUCGGAAAGAACACCAGUGGCGAAGGCGACGGCCUGGGUCCAGACUGACACUGAGGGGCGAAAGCGUGGGGAGCAAACAGG
rnacentral:rRNA from 1 species